rnacentral:tRNA from 1 species
GACGAGGUGGCCGAGUGGUUAAGGUUAUGGACUGCUAAUCCUUUGUGCUCUGCAUGCGUGGGUUAGAAUCGAAUCCCAUCCUCGUCG